GAAUCCCGUCUUUGACAUGGACUGCCUGUACAUUAUGGUGCGCUCUCAAAGAGUCGAGUUGUUUGGGAAUGCAGCUCAAAAUGGGUGGUAAAUUCCAUCUAAAGCUAAAUAUUGGCGAGAGACCGAUAGCGAACAAGUACCGUGAGGGAAAGAUGAAAAGAACUUUGGAAAGAGAGUUAAACAGUACGUGAAAUUGCUGAAAGGGAAACGUUUGAAGUCAGUCUCGUUGGCUAGAAAUCAGCCUUGCUUUUGCUUGGUGUACUUUCUGGUUGACGGGUCAGCAUCAAUUUUGACCAUUGGAUAAAGUCGUUGGGAAUGUGGCAUCUUCGGAUGUGUUAUAGCCCAUUGUCGCAUACAACGAUUGGGAUUGAGGAACUCAGCACGCCGCAAGGCCGGGUACUUGUACCACGUUCGUGCUUAGGAUGCUGGCAUAAUGGCUUUAAUCGACCCGUCUUGAAACACGGACCAAGGAGUCUAACAUGCCUGCGAGUGUUUGGGUGGAAAACCCGGACGCGUAAUGAAAGUGAAAGUUGAGAUCCCUGUCGUGGGGAGCAUCGACGCCCGGACCAGACCUUUUGUGACGGAUCCGCGGUAGAGCAUGUAUGUUGGGACCCGAAAGAUGGUGAACUAUGCCUGAAUAGGGUGAAGCCAGAGGAAACUCUGGUGGAGGCUCGUAGCGAUUCUGACGUGCAAAUCGAUCGUCAAAUUUGGGUAUAGGGGCGAAAGACUAAUCGAACCAUCUAGUAGCUGGUUCCUGCC
rnacentral:rRNA from 1 species